rnacentral:rRNA from 1 species
AACGAACGCUGGCGGCAUGCCUAACACAUGCAAGUCGAACGAGACCUUCGGGUCUAGUGGCGCACGGGUGCGUAGCGCGUGGGAAUCUGCCCUUGGCUUCGGAAUAACAGUUAGAAAUGACUGCUAAUACCGGAUGAUGUCUUCGGACCAAAGAUUUAUCGGCCAGGGAUGAGCCCGCGUAGGAUUAGGUAGUUGGUGGGGUAAAGGCCAACCAAGCCGACGAUCCUUAGCUGGUCUGAGAGGAUGACCAGCCACACUGGGACUGAGACACGGCCCAGACUCCUACGGGAGGCAGCAGUGGGGAAUAUUGGACAAUGGGCGCAAGCCUGAUCCAGCAAUGCCGCGUGAGUGAUGAAGGCCUUCGGGUCGUAAAGCUCUUUUACCCGGGAUGAUAAUGACAGUACCGGGAGAAUAAGCUCCGGCUAACUCCGUGCCAGCCGCCGCAGUAA